CUGAAAACAGUCCCUAAAAUCCACAUACACAGCCCCUGUUUACACAAAUAAUCAGGCACAUCCCAUCAUCAAAUCUAAUCCCUAAAUAUCUUGGCAUGGUUUAUAUAAAACACCAGAAUACCCAAAUCCAACCAAACACUCAAAGCUCAAUUCCACAGUCCAGUCCUUAAACCUGUCCAGUAACACUCUUCAUCUGCCCAUGCUUAACCUAUAAACCAGCUCAUUUUCAACCAAACAUGCCCAUUCAUUUCAGAUCUAACCCAGUCCAAAAAAUGUCCUCAAUCUGCUCCCUUCAGCCUACAAACCAGUCCUAAAACCCAUAACCACAGUUGCCCAUAAAAAUAGAAAUAGAAAGUUCCAGACUCUGCCCUUUUCAGCUAUAUAACUGGAGUUGGCUAUAAUUGAAUGGUUAUAAUCACCCCACUGGAGUUGGCUACAUCAAAUGGAUUGUCCAGAUUGUUUGAUCAAACUCUCCACAUGUUCAAGAGCACCACAUAAUGCUAGACCAUUGCAU